UUUUUUUUUUCCUUUAUCCCAGUGAGCUCCCAAAUAAAUGAGACAGAGACUAUAAAAUUUAUUUCAUCAAGCUUUAUGGCACAAUAAUUGAGCAUAUAUUAUUCUAAUCUUCUAAACUAAUCUGGCUACCUCUCAGCCAAAAAUCCGCAAGAUACUUGCAUUUUAAUAUUGAUCUGGCUCUCUUUGCUCCAGAUGUGUUCUCAUGAUGGCUCCUGGACCCUUUCCUUGUGGCCAAAUCCUCUCUUCCUCUCUUCCUCUCCCUCUCUCCCCUUCCCCUGGCUGAUCAGCUUUUAUUGACAAAUUGGAGAAUAAAUGGGGAGCAGUGUUUACACAACAUCACUGGAGAUUUUUAGAAUAAGCAUUACAAGGAGUUUCAGGGGACAUUAGCAUUUGAAUCAUAGGAUAGUCUUAACACUGUGCACAAUAACAUUCUGCCAACAGGUGAGCCAGAUGACAAAUGGACCAUUUAGCAGAAAACUGGAAGCUAUGAAGGAUUCACAUAGAAAUUCCAGGAUUGAAACAUACAAUCACUCAUUAGAAAAUUUGGGAUUAGAACUUGAGUUAGUGAGUGGAAGAUAGACAAAACAAAACAAACUUCAGCCUCUCCAGCAUGAGAUAGAAGGCUGGAAAGUAAAAAUAAAAGGAAAACAAAAAUACCCCAGAAGUAAAUGAAACACUGUUAAAAGUCUAAAAUACUUAUCAUUGAAACCUCAGAAAGAAAAGCAGAAGAAUAAAUCAGAAGUUGUGCUUUAAAAAAAAAAAGUUAGAGACUAGGAAGGUGGCUCAGUGGUUACGUGGUGAAGCUGUUCUGGGGAACCCAGGUCUGAGUCCCAGCACUCACAUGGUGCCUCCCAACUGUGUGGAACUCUAGAGCCAAGGGAUCUGAAGCCCUCUUCUGGCCUCCACAGGCACUGCAUGUAUGUAGGGCACAAACAUGCAUGCAGGCUAAACACCAUACACAU
rnacentral:lncRNA from 1 species